rnacentral:rRNA from 1 species
GGGAGACAGGUGGUGCAUGGUUGUCGUCAGCUCGUGUCGUGAGAUGUUGGGUUAAGUCCCGCAACGAGCGCAACCCCUACGUUUAGUUGCUAACAGGUGAAGCUGAGCACUCUAGACGAACUGCCGUUGACAAAACGGAGGAAGUGGGGAUGACGUCAAAUCAUCAUGCCCCUUAUGUUCUGGGCUACACACGUGCUACAAUGGCCGGUACAGACGGAGGCGAAGCCGCGAGGCGGAGCAAAUCCGAAAAAGCCGGUCUCAGUUCGGAUUGCAGGCUGCAAUUCGCCUGCAUGAAGUCGGAAUCGCUAGUAAUCGCAGGUCAGCAUACUCGCGGUCGAUACGUUCCGGCCUU